UCAAGGACAAGCUGUGACGGGUAUGAACGAUUUAUCGUUCUAAGUGAGUGACGUCACACUGCCAAGAAAAGCUUCUAGUUAGAAUCAGACCGCCCGUACCGCAAACCGACACAGGUAGUCGGGUCGAGAAGACCAAGGUGAGCGAGAGAACUUUCGUUAAGGAACUCGGCAAAAUGACCCCGUAACUUCGGGAGAAGGGGUGCUGAUCGCAAGAUCAGCCGCAGUGAAUAGGCCCAGGCGACUGUUUAUCAAAAACACAGGUUUCUGCAAAAUCGUAAGAUGAAGUAUAGGGGCUGACGCCUGCCCGGUGCUGGAAGGUUAAGAGGAUGGGUUAGCGCAAGCGAAGCUCAGAAUUGAAGCCCCAGUAAACGGCGGCCGUAACAAUAACGGUCCUAAGGUAGCGAAAUUCCUUGUCGGGUAAGUUCCGACCCGCACGAAAGGCGUAACGAUCUGGGCACUGUCUCAACGAGAGACUCGGUGAAAUUAUAAUACCCGUGAAGAUGCGGGUUACCCGCGACAGGACGGAAAGACCCCAUGGAGCUUUACUGUAGCUUGAUAUUGGGUGUUUGUACAACUUGUACAGGAUAGGUAGGAGCCGUAGAAGUCGGGACGCUAGUUUCGACGGAGGCAUCGGUGGGAUACUACCCUCGUUGUAUGAACACUCUAACCCACGCCGGCAAUCACGGCGGGAGACAGUGUCAGGUGGGCAGUUUGACUGGGGCGGUCGCCUCCUAAAAGGUAACGGAGGCGCCCAAAGGUUCCCUCAGAAUGGUUGGAAAUCAUUCGCAGAGUGUAAAGGCAUAAGGGAGCUUGACUGCGAGACCUACAAGUCGAGCAGGGACGAAAGUCGGGCUUAGUGAUCCGGUGGUUCCGCAUGGAAGGGCCAUCGCUCAACGGAUAAAAGCUACCCUGGGGAUAACAGGCUUAUCUCCCCCAAGAGUCCACAUCGACGGGGAGGUUUGGCACCUCGAUGUCGGCUCAUCGCAUCCUGGGGCUGUAGUCGGUCCCAAGGGUUGGGCUGUUCGCCCAUUAAAGCGGUACGCGAGCUGGGUUCAGAACGUCGUGAGACAGUUCGGUCCCUAUCCGUCGCGGGCGCAGGAAAUUUGAGAGGAUCUGUCCUUAGUACGAGAGGACCGGGAUGGACAUACCGCUGGUGUACCAGUUGUUCUGCCAAGGGCAUCGCUGGGUAGCUAUGUAUGGAUGAGAUAAACGCUGAAAGCAUCUAAGUGCGAAACUCACCUCGAGAUAAGAUUUCCCACUCCUUUAUGGAGUUAAGACCCCUGAGAGAUGAUCAGGUAGAUAGGAUGGAAGUGGAAGUGCGGCGACGCAUGGAGCGGACCAUUACUAAUCGGUCGAGGACUUAACU
rnacentral:rRNA from 1 species